rnacentral:rRNA from 1 species
AGUGGGGAAUUUUCCGCAAUGGGCGAAAGCCUGACGGAGCAAUACCGCGUGAGGGAAGACGGCCUAUGGGUUGUAAACCUCUUUUUUCAGGGAGGAAUCAAUGACGUGUACCUGAAGAAUAAGCAUCGGCUAACUCCGUGCCAGCAGCCGCGGUAAGACGGAGGAUGCAAGUGUUAUCCGGAAUCACUGGGCGUAAAGCGUCUGUAGGUGGUUGAACAAGUCAACUGUUAAAUCUUGAGGCUUAACUUCAAAAUCGCAGUCGAAACUGUUUGACUAGAGUAUAGUAGGGGUAAAGGGAAUUUCCAGUGGAGUGGUGAAAUGCGUAGAUAUUGGAAAGAACACCGAUGGCGAAGGCACUUUACUGGGCUAUUACUGACACUCAGAGACGAAAGCUAGGGUAGCAAAUGGGAUUAGAUACCCCAGUAGUCCUAGCCGUAAACAAUGGAUACUAGAUGUUGAACAGAUCGACCUNUGCAGUAUCAAAGCUAACGCGUUAAGUAUCCCGCCUGGGAAGUAUGCUCGC